UGAGGAAUAUUGCGCAAUGGGCGAAAGCCUGACGCAGCGACGCCGUGUGGAGGAUGACGUCCUUCGGGAUGUAAACUCCUGUCAGAGGGAACGACAUCGACGGUACCCUCAGAGGAAGGCCCGGCUAACUACGUGCCAGCAGCCGCGGUAAUACGUAGGGGCCAAGCGUUGUCCGGAAUUAUUGGGCGUAAAGCGCGCGUAGGCGGUGAUAUAAGUCAAUUGUAAAAGGUAUGGGCCCAACCCAUAUAUCGCAACUGAUACUGUAUUGCUAGAGAUCGGGAGAGGAAAGCGGAAUUCCAGGUGUAGCGGUGAAAUGCGUAGAUAUCUGGAGGAACACCGGUGGCGAAAGCGGCUUUCUGGACCGAUUCUGACGCUGAGGUGCGAAAGCUAGGGGAGCAAACAGG
rnacentral:rRNA from 1 species